CACAGGUUCAAAUUCUGUCUCAUUUCAUUCUGAAUCAUCCCUGUUUCUGAGCAACAGCAAAGUCUUUUAGCAGUUUGGGCAAGUACAGCGUCCAGUUCUGCAUGACUAGCAGUACUCAGAUAGACAAGUUUAUUUCAGACUCAAACCUGGACUAAUAAUUAAAGCCCAACACUAAGGGUUUGGAGUGGAUGGGGGAGAGUUAAAAGAAAAGUGACUUACUACUGUGGUGAGAGAAAAGCAGGAAAAUAUUUGUGGCAUAUGAAGUAGCAUUUUGCAUAGCUCUGGAUAAAGAGUCCAUAAAGCAUCUCUGCAACAAAGUCAAUUGAUUCAUCUUGGUAGAAGGCUAUUUUAUUAAACCCUGAACAAUUCUGUGGGCUUUUACCACUGAAGGAUAUGUCUUGCUUUCUUAGGCAGCAGGCUGCAACUAAUACUAUACAGCUUUCUUCAACCACGUACUUAUGACAGAUCCUUUUGGGUAUUUCCUCAGUUCACAAUCAUGAUUAUAUGUGAAUGCCAUCCCAUAGAGGUUAUACACAUGGAUAAUACUCCCAUCCUUAUAGUUACUUUGGCAUCAAACUCAUUGCUACCAAAAUGAGAGGCUUAAACACUUCUCAGUGCUUUGGCUGAGGCUAUGAAGCUGCAUGUAGAAAGGCAAAAGGUUGAGCCCAGCUUUCCUGACACUCUGCUCCCCUUCUUACAUCACAUAUAUUGUCCACUUUGGCAACCCAAAAGGAUAUCUGGCUUAAACUGUCUUGGCAGGAUACACCAUGGCUCAGCUGUGAGAUUCUGCCCUGAACGACUUUCUUCCCAUGAGUAAGGACAGAGACUCUCUUCCAUUCCUGAGCACUGUGCAUCAGCCAAGCUCUGCAACAGGCCCUUGGUCUCCAAAGCAGGCAGGAGACAUAGACUUCCUCAUUGUUCUGGCUGGACAUUUAAUUCAUAAACGGGCAGGAAUACUGAAUUCAUGGGUGACUUUGGCACUACCAAAAUAUCUCUUAAUUAAAGGGACCACAGAUGAGAAUUGUCCCACUCCACAAGGUACUUUAUGUGUAACUAGAAAGGAUUAAGCAGGGUUCAUCAAUGCACUUAAGCCUCUGAAGAUAACAAAAUUCAGUUUAUUUUGUAGUUAAUGGGAAAAUAUUAGGUUUUGUAUGUGCUUAUGACCACUGACUUGAAAGGCAGGGUGUAUGUGGAAAAGACAGCUGACAAAGUUUCAAGUAGUCCAGGAGAUUUGUGGAGCUUAUUGAGAGCAAUUUCGUGAUGCAUACAGUUGACAAACCGAUGAGGGAAGACACUCUGUUGGACUUGAUACUCACAAAUAAUUAAGAACAUAUUGGACAUGUGGAGGCUGAGAGCAGCUGAGCUGCAGGGACCUGCAGGCUGUGCUGUUUAAGACCCUCAAAGGAGUGAGCAAGACAAACAGCAGAAUGACAAGCCUGGAGUUCAAAACCUCUCUCAAGAUAGGUUUCGGCCUCUGUAGGGACCUGCUUUCCACAGCCUCAUGGAAAAUUGCCCUUGGGGGACCAAAAGGAUGCAGGAGAAAAUAACUGAUCUUCUAGGACAGCUUCUUCAGAGCACAAGAAUGAUAGUGAAUGAUCUGCUUCAAUGUGCAGGCAGCUGAGUAACUGUGGCAAUAGGUCAACACAGAGAAUGUGGACCUGUCUGAGCUCACAUGUGAAGAAGGACUCAGAAUGUGGAAACAGGGACAAGCUAAGGAGAAGAUACAAAGACAUUGCUCGUGAAUCUAGGAAUGGGGUCAGGAAAGACAAAGCUCAUCAGGAGCUGAGAUCAGCAAGGAAAGUGAAGGACAACAAGUGUCUUUCUAUGACAACACUCGCAGCAAAAGGAAGGCUAGGACAGCCAGCUCACUGCUUAGUGACAGAGACAUAGUGACAAGAGGCAUUGGAAAGGCAUAGGUAUUUAAUGCUGAUUUCACUGGUUCAGGAUUCAACAGCACAGGUUCUUUGGCCACCUGAUGUAGUUAGACUCACUUUGAGUGGAAAAUAGGACGGGAAAAUCUCUGGAGGUCCCUUCUAGCCUAAACUAGUCUUUGAUUCUGUGACAGGACACCCAGAAUCAGUGCCUGAUUCUGGCUCUGACUUCUAUGUAGUUGCACACAUUGUUUGGGAAGCAAAGGGUGAGGGUGUAUUAAACUUCUAGAUACUAAGCUUCAGGAUUAGGCUUUCUACUUCAACUUUUUACCUGAGCCUGGCAAACACAUCUAGACAACUGGGUGAACAAAUGUUCAAUUCGAGAUGUCUACAUGAAGCUAUAAACUAAAAGGACGAGUUCAUUUGUGCUGAUUUUGUUGUAGUCAUGAGAGAUAUACUGUAUUGGUGUCCUACAUUAGGAACACAUAUCAAACUGUCUAUUAGGACCUCUGAUUCCUGCUGAGCCAUAAGCAAGGCAUGGCCAUUCUUCAUUUGGAUGAAGCGAUAAGGAAGCCUGUGCCCUAAGAUGACUGCUAAGUGACGAGUCAAGCUGCAACCUCACGAUUACUAGGAGUACCCAAAUGUUUCCAAGGUGGAGUGAGAAGCAGAAAGUUUCACAGCUGAUGUGUUUUUCCCUCUCGGAAUGACAUCACCACUUAAUUCCUCCAGAUAUUUUACUCUUCAUACAAUUUUGACAGAAAGAGAAAGCAAUUGCCCUUGAAGUUAAGGUGGAGAGUUUUAAAAUGACUGAAAUUGAAAUGAAUGAAAAUCAUGAUAC